CGACCAUUGAGCCACAAACUUCACUUUCUGGACUCCCUGAGAGAGUCGACCCCUACCUUGUGAGUCGAUCCCUAAUUCCAUGAGUUCACCCUACCCACAGAGCAGAAAGUUCCAUUUUUUGAAACUUUCAGAGAGAGUCGACCCCCAUCAUUUUUUUUUUCACCUUCUUCAUCUCAGAUGAACAGUAACCCGGACUGACAGCGGGUUACUUCAUCCCGGUUUUGAUCCACUUUCCAAACUCCAAAUUUUAUGAAAUUUUUACCUAACAUUCUAUACUCAUAGUGGUUUCCAGAGAGGUAACAUGCAUCACCAUCGGAGGCCGAUUGACCUCCGAAACAUGUCACUGAAGUCAGGACAUCGACACAGGUUUUCUGCAGUCCUGGAAAAACCUUGUCGAAA
rnacentral:lncRNA from 1 species